AGAAAGCAGUCUCCAUCACUUUGCAAAAGAGGACUCUCAGGACGAGGAAGAAGCAACCAGCUCCCAGCCACAGAUGCUGUGAAAUGGGUCCACUGACAGCAGCGCUCACAGAAGGACCCCCAGGGCCAGGCCUGGUCUGGCCUGGUGGAUUGUUUUCCGCGGCCGCUGGGCAGCGUGGCCAGGAGAAGGCUCUGAGUUGUUGUUAAGGAGGGCCAGGGGUCCUUCCAAGCCUGCUGUUUCCCCAGCAGAUUUAUGUGCUCCUGCGCACCCCCGCCUUUCCCUCACCCUGACUCCCGAACACCUUGCUGAACACUCUCCCGUCUCUGCCCAAGAAGGAGAGAGGAGGCUGAGCUGAGCCUGCUGACUCGUCACCUUCAUCACCUUGAGGGCUCGUAGCCACUCACUUCCUCUGCAGCCAGCCCUGAGCCGCACUCUUAGCUGCAGUGGCCCGUUCCAUUCUCAAGCCGACUCCGAAGUGAAGAAGGGUUAGCUCACUCACCCAAGGUCCUCUGGAUCAGGAGCUCCGUGGGGAGGCAAGAACCUCAUCUGGUCCGUCACUCCAUCCCUAGCAUGGCGCUCAGUGGAACACCGAUCGGCUCAAUGUCUGAUCCCUUGCCCCUGGUCCGUGCGCUGUGGGAAUUCCUUUCUCUGCUGCCAGUCUUGGUUUCCUGUCAUGACUCUGCUUCCUGAGAGCCCCCAGGAACCCAUCUUUACCCCUGUGUACUCCAUCCGUACCCCAAGUCUCAUGGCCUCUCCCUGACACCUCAGCCCAGCCAGGGCCAGGGUGAAGGUCCGGGACCAGCACCUGGGCUGCGCUGGUGCCUGGAGGAAACGCUGGGGGAGGCACCUGGCCCGCACCAAGGGCUCCGCUGGAGGCUCCGCUGAAGCUGCUGCUGGGCUGCUAGUCUCUGACGUGGCCCCUCCAGUCUGGUGCAGCGUCGAGGGUUUAGCUCUUCUGACUUCACCAGAAAUGGCCGCUCAGCUGGCACCCUGUCUGCCACCCCAAGACUCUGAAGGCAGUUUGUGCUCUCUCAUACUCUCUGACAUACGUUUUCUUCAAAAGGAUGUUUCGUGAUCCAUCCUGCGUGUCUGUCUGUGCUGUGGCCACACUCCUGCCCUUUGAUAUUUUACUGCGAGUGCUGUACAUUCUUGUGGCUUGAGAAACGGAGAUCAGAAAAUAACUUCCUGGAUUCGGUAUAGGUCGGAUCCAGGGCUCGAUCCUGGUAGAAAUCCCAGCCACUGACCCUUGGAGACGGGAAGCGGGCUCAGGCACGGCCUGUGGAAGAUGUCUGGGAUCAGACUUGCUGCUUCAAGUGGAAAGUGCCUGAGGCAGAUGCAGGCUGCUGGUGCAGACACACUUGCUCAAAGCUGACGUCCUUCACUUCGUUGGCAGGGAUGAGGCCCGGCGUGACAAACAGAAACCCAGGGAAGCCCUCCAGCCCCUGUGUACUUGACAGAUGCAGUCACCCCCCAUCGCCACGUUACUGGCCCAGGACAUUGGCGAGUGCCAUUCAAACCCCAGAUACCAAAGGCAAUCUUGUAGCUUCUCCACAUCUUUUAAAAUUUGUUUUUUAAAUUGAGGCAUAGUCAGUUUACAAUGUUGUGUCAGUUUCUGGUUCUACAUCCUUUUUGUUCUUUCUUUUUGGCUUUGGAAUUUAUUAUAUCAUUUUCUGGCAGAAGAUGUGCCUUCCCAGUAACUGUAAGUUUACUUAAGUUUAUCUUAAAAAAAAAAAAAGAGUUUGCAUUUUUCUAAGCACAAACCGACAGAGAAAGCAUAGGGAAGUGGCUGCUGAUGAUUAGUUUCUCUUUGGGUUGAUGAAAACGUUCUGAAAUUAGUCGUAAUACUUGCACAGCCAUGUGAAUACACUAGAAACUGCUGAGUUACAUGGUGAAUAUUAUAGUAUGUGAGUUACAUCUCAAUUUAAAAAAUACAUAUGCUAUGUACAUAAAAAGGAUGUUUGUUAUUGUUAUUAUUCAACACAAAUCCCAGCGCUCACAAAGCCGUUCAUCCAGUUCUCUGAUCCUCCCCGGGCUGAACCCGGCUCUCGUGUUUGUCACGCACAUGCUGCCACCUUGUGUGAUUUAAAUAAUGUUCAAUAAUCAUUAAAUAAUAAAUGAUGGUCACGUCAAUA